rnacentral:rRNA from 1 species
CCUACGGGAGGCUGCAGUGGGGAAUAUUGCACAAUGGGGGAAACCCUGAUGCAGCGACGCCGCGUGAGUGAAGAAGGAUUUCGGGAUGGAAAGCUCUAUCAGCAGGGAAGAAAAGGACGGUACCUGAUGAAGAAGCCCCGGCUAACGACGUGACAGCAGCCGCGGUAAGACGUAGGGGGCAAGGGUUAUCCGGAUUUACUGGGUGUACACGGAGCGUAGACGGCAGCACAAGUCUGGAGUGAAAUGCCGGGGCUUAACCCCGGUACUGCUUUGGAAACUGUGCAGCUAGCGUGCAGGAGAGGUAUGUGGAAUUCCUCGUGUAGCGGUGACAUGCGUAGAUAUUAGGAGGAACACCAGUGGCGAAGGCGGCUUACUGGACUGUACCUGACGUU